rnacentral:rRNA from 1 species
UGGUACAAGAAUGAGAUUAUUGUCCCAAAAAUUAAGCCAUGCAUGUCUAAGUAUAAGCAAUUAUACCGCGAAACUGCGAAUGGCUCAUUAUAUAAGUUAUCGUUUAUUUGAUAGCACAUUACUACAUGGAUAACUGUGGUAAUUCUAGAGCUAAUACAUGCUAAAAAUCCCGACUUCGGAAGGGAUGUAUUUAUUAGAUUAAAAGCCAACGCCCUUCGGGGCUUCCUGGUGAUUCAUAAUAACUUUUCGAAUCGCAUGGCCUUGCGCCGGCGAUGGUUCAUUCAAAUUUCUUCCCUAUCAACUUUCGAUGCGAAGGUAUUGUCUUCGCAUGGUUGCAACGGGUAACGGAGGGUUAGGGCUCGACCCCGGAGAAGGAGCCUGAGAAACGGCUACUACAUCCAAGGAAGGCAGCAGGCGCGCAAAUUACCCAAUCCCGACACGGGGAGGUAGUGACAAUAAAUACUGAUACAGGGCUCUUUUGGGUCUUGUAAUCGGAAUGAGUACAAUUUAAAUCCCUUAACGAGGAACAAUUGGAGGGCAAGUCUGGUGCCAGCAGCCGCGGUAAUUCCAGCUCCAAUAGCGUAUAUUAAAGUUGUUGUGGUUAAAAAGCUCGUAGUUGAACCUUGGGCCUGGCUGGCCGGUCCCCCUCACCGGGUGCACUGAUCCAGCCGGGCCUUUCCCUCUGUGGAACCCCAUGGCCUUCACUGGCUGUGGCGGGGAAACAGGACUU